GUAGGUGAACCUGCGGAAGGAUCAUUACAUAAUCGAAACUGAAUAUAUACAGUGUCGCUUGUGCGCCGAGGGGUAAAUUCCGACGCGCCAAGUCACUUAUAUACUUCAUUAUCAAACCCUUGUGAACCGUAAUUGACACCUUUGGCGUAGCUUAAAGUUGUGUGCGCGCUUCGGCGCGGGCGCAGCUGUUACGUCAAACGGUACCACACAAAACAAACCAUUUGCACACCUAUAAAGACUUAAUCUAAGAAAAUUCAAUAAUUGAAAUACAACUUUUAACAAUGGAUCUCUUGGCUCUU
rnacentral:misc_RNA from 1 species